rnacentral:lncRNA from 1 species
GAAAAGGAAACGGCUAUGUAAGGGAGACACAGACAGAGACACAGAGAGGAAGAGAGAGAGAGGUGGAUUUUUAAUGACAGGAGGAAGCCCCAGAUAUGGUGAAUAUGGAGUUAAGUUGGUGGCCAGUCAAGAAGGUGGGGACAGUGAGAAUGCAGAGGGAAGAAGGUACCAAAACCCAGAAGUGGUCCAGACAGAACACAGAGAUCAGAGCUUCCUUUUCAUCAUCUGCAUGGCAGUGACAAGAGGUCAUGAACCUAUCCUCCCAUUACCAAUGGGGACUGAACAUGGGGAAGAAGCCUUGUGUUUAAAAGCAGCGAGACUCGGAUGCAUCAAAGGGGAUCAAUAGAAGCCAGAAUAAGCAUGAACCCUUGACAACAUGCUGGUGAGGAACACUUUGGGAAUAAUAAACAACAAAAUGAACAACUUCAACAUAGAAAAAGCAGACACCAGAAGAGACAUCCUCCUGGGAAUCUCAAUUUAUAUCAGCUUGUUUCGUUAUCACAAUUGAAAUGACCAUUUAAGUCAGUUUUCUGAUUGCUCUUUGAAAAUGUCAUUUUACAUUCAAACCAGUCCCUGGAAUCUAGCACUAAGUAUCCCAUGUCUAGGGAUACUUCUAGCCACAGCUGCAAACAUUUACACAUGAGGACGUUCACUGCAGACUUCAAAAUCACAAGACAUGGGAGGCACCCUAUAGGUUGGAGAGUUGUUUAAGCAAAGUGUGGUAACCCAGAUGGCAAAAUGCAAGGCAGUUAUUAAAACUGACAUUUAUCCUGGCUAACACAGUGAAACCCCGUCUCUACUAAAAAUACAAAAAAAUUAGCUGGAUGUGGUGGCGGGCGCCUGUAGUCCCAGCUACUCAGGAGGCUGAGGCUGGAGGAUGGCGUGAACCAGGGAGGCGGAGCUUGCAGUGAGCCAAGAUUGCACCACUGCACUCCAG